rnacentral:rRNA from 1 species
UACAGAGGGGGCAAGCGUUGUUCGGAAUUACUGGGCGUAAAGGGCGCGUAGGCGGCCUCUUAAGUCGAACGUGAAAUCCCCGGGCUCAACCCGGGAACUGCGUCCGAUACUGAGGGGCUUGAAUCCGGGAGAGGGAUGUGGAAUUCCAGGUGUAGCGGUGAAAUGCGUAGAUAUCUGGAGGAACACCGGUGGCGAAGGCGGCAUCCUGGACCGGUAUUGACGCUGAGGCGCGAAAGCCAGGGGAGCAAACGGG